rnacentral:rRNA from 1 species
AUUGAACGCUGGCGGCAGGCUUAACACAUGCAAGUCGAACGAGUGGCGGACGGGUGAGUAAUGCGUGGGAAUCUAGCUGAUGGAGGGGGAUAACUACGGGAAACUGUAGCUAAUACCGCAUACCAUAGGAUGAGCCCAUUUGGGAUUAGGUAGUUGGUGAGGUAACGGCUAACCAAGCCGACGAUCUCUAGCUGGUCUGAGAGGAUGACCAGCCACACGUGGACUGAGACACGGCCCAGACUCCUACGGGAGGCAGCAGUGGGGAAUAUUGCGCAAUGGGGGCAACCCUGACGCAGCCAUGCCGCGUGUAUGAAGAAGGCCUUCGGGUUGUAAAGUUCUUUCGGUAGCGAGGCGUUAGCUACAGAAGAAGCACCGGCUAACUCCGUGCCAGCAGCCGCGGUAAUGC